rnacentral:snRNA from 1 species
AUACUUACCUGGCAGGGGAGAUACCAUGAUCACGAAGGUGAUUUUCCCAGGGCGAGGCUUACCCGUUGCACUCUGGAUGUGCUGACCCCCGCGAUUUUCCCAAAUGUGGGAAACUCAACUGCAUAAUUUGUGGUAGUGGGGGACUGCGUUUCGUGCUUUCCCCUA